ensembl:lncRNA
AUGUGCCUCACGGUUUCUUUGUUAAGCUUGAACAAGCACAGGGGAGGGGGCUUAGGUGCGUACCAGGAUGUUCUGUCGCCCUUAUCUCUGGGUAGUAGCCCUUAUCUCUGGGUAGUAGCUAUCUGCCUUCUCUGUGAACUUAGUUUACUCCCCAUUUCCCAGGACUGUUUCAUUAAGGCCAUUCUUAUGGCGGCUCUUGGCUCUCAGCCGUUCCUUUCAAAGGUUCUCAUACUUUUCCAAAAACAAGCCCUUAAUGUGUUCAGUGCAGAUACUCCGCUGGUCGCUGUCGCUCGCUGCACUUCAGGGUUGUUACUGCGCGUUCUCUCAAGUAGACGAGGAAGGCGUCCACCUCCCCGACGGUACCCGAGCGCCCGGGAACGGCGAGAGGGAACCAGCACGCCCGCUCUGCUGCCACAGCGAUGGCGCGUCCCGGCUCCCGGCUCCCGACUCCCGGUGUCACAUCCAGGCGCCCCGGUGUCCCGGCUCCCGACUCCCGGCGUCCCGGCGUCCCGGCUCCCGGCGUCCCGUGCAGGCGCCAGGCGGGCUUGCCGGCCGAGGGCCGGUGUGUUCCCGUCCCACGGCGACGCCGGGGUGCUGGCUGGCUGGACGCGCUGCCUUCAGGAAGAGCGGCCGUCCCCGGACAGUGCCUGGCCGCCGUCGUCCUCCUGGUUAGCGCGGGGAGCGCAGGGCGGGUUCUGGAGCGCCGGUUCCUGCCUGAACCUGGGCCGCUGGUGUGCCCUGUGUGGGACAGACCCGGUGUGGCCCGUCCAUCUCACUUUGUGUCCUUAAAGUGGCGUUCAGGUGACCUCCUGAGGUAGGCGAGGCCGGAAGUGGCAGGAUCGUUUCUCCAGCUGUGAGCCCAGUGUCCGUCCACAGAGAUGCCUCCUCUGGAUGGCCACUUACUGCUUCUUGGAAUCUCCGAGCCCGGGGAAUUCAAGGACUCAGAAAACAUGGGAAUACACGCGGUGUAGAAAGGGCCUUUUGUGUUCUCAGGGAUGCAUCCUGGGUUGUAUUUCACUUUAUGUGGUCAGAAGCUGGCUUCCAGUGAACUGUGUGUGGGUCAGUCCAGUAGGAGUUUGAGACCCAGACACUUCUGUUCUCCUUUGUGUGGAAUUGUUUUAAAGUUUAUGUAUUUGAAAGGCAGAGCUAGAGAGAGAGGAACAGAGACGUCUUCCAUGGCUGGCUCCCUCCCCAGCUCAGGCUGGGACUAGCUGAACACAGGCGCUUCCUUCAUGUCUCCCAAGUAGGUGGCAGGAGCUGGACCAACUUCCACUGCUUUCCCAGGCACACUGGCAGGAAGCUGGAUCAGAAGUGCUUUAGCCAGGACUGGCACCUUUAUGGGAUGCUGGCACUGCAGGUGGAGGCUUAGCCCUGCGUGUGUCAGUGCAGAGAACUGAUUAUUGAAAUUGUCAGAUGGACAUUCAGCUAGUGCUGAUGAGUGCUUUGAAGAGCCUUCCAGGCAAGAUUAACAUAUGGAUGGAGGCAGAUUAUCAGGGAAGAUGGAGUGACUAGUGUUUUUUAAACACUGGGACCAUUUUGAAUCGUAACAUCAAUCAAUGGUUUGCAAAUAAUGUUAAAAAAUAGUAUAUAUAUAUAUAUAUAUAUAUAUAUAUAUAUCCAUAAGAAGAGUAACCUAGAGUAGCAGGCAUAUAUAGUCAGAACAAUUAUUGAUUUGUGAAAUUUUGGUUUAGUUAGAUAUAACACACAAUUCCCCUCCCCUCUCUCUUUCUGCCAACUUCCUUGUCCACUCCUCUCUAUCUCUGGAAGUUGUUCUCUCCAUUAGCCUUAAUUUUUUAAUUUUUAUUUUUUGGAAAGUAUUUAUUUGAAAGGAAGGAUGUAGAGAGAGAGGGAGAGACAUAGAGAAAAAAGAGAAAUCUUCCAUCUGCUGGUUCACUCAGAUGGCCACAACUCCUGGGGCUUGCCCAGAGUGAAGCCAGAAGCCCAGAACUCCCUCCAGGUCUCCCACAUGGAUGACAGGGAUCCAAGCACAUUAGCAGGGAGCUGGAUCAGCAGCAGAGCAGUUGGCUUUUGAACCAGCACCCCAACAUGGUAUGAGGCAGCAGCCCAGCCCAUUCUGCUACAAUGCCAGCUGCAAACUUAAUUAAAACAAUUUUUUUUUUGUAAAGAAGACAAAAGUUGAGCAUUACAUUGUUAACCUCCAAUACCAACUACUCACCUUCAACAGUCAACAGCUUUCUGAUUUGAUCAUAUAGUUUUGGUCCUCAGAGGUGUGUUGAGAGGUAGUUAAGGCAUCAGGAGGAAAGGGAGUUGCCAUCAUCUCUCAUCUCAGAAGUAGCCUGAAGGAAGAGCAGCAGAGAGGAAAAUGCAGUCUAGGUCUUCAGAAUCUUAUUUUUGUGGGUCAUAUAUAUUUGUGUUUGUGUCUUGUUUUAUCAGUCACUUUGUUUAAGUAAAAUAGGAGUUUUGUUCUUUUUCCCGAUAUUCUUAUAGAGUUAGAUUUGGAGGUGGGGACAUGGGGAUAGGGAAUAUUCAGGGCCAUGUUAAAUAAAAGAAAUUAGGUAUAGGAAAAAUAGCCA